rnacentral:rRNA from 1 species
UACGUAGGGCGCAAGCGUUGUCCGGAAUUAUUGGGCGUAAAGAGCUCGUAGGUGGCGUGUCGCGUCUGCCGUGAAAGCCCAUGGCUUAACUGUGGGUCUGCGGUGGAUACGGGCAGACUAGAGUGCUGUAGGGGAGACUGGAAUUCCUGGUGUAGCGGUGAAAUGCGCAGAUAUCAGGAGGAACACCGGUGGCGAAGGCGGGUCUCUGGGCAGUAACUGACGCUGAGGAGCGAAAGCGUGGGGAGCGAACAGG